rnacentral:rRNA from 1 species
UUNAACUCCAAGCNAAUGUGACGUUACCAAACUGUUGCCUCGGCGGGAACUCAUGCCCCNNNNNCNUCGCAGCCCCGGACCAAGGCGCCCGCCGGAGGACCANNCAAAACUCUUUUUGUAUACCCCCUCGCGGGUUUUUUAUAAUCUGAGCCUUCUCGGCGCCUCUCGUAGGCGUUUCGAAAAUGAAUCAAAACUUUCAACAACGGAUCUCUUGGUUCUGGCAUCGAUGAAGAACGCAGCGAAAUGCGAUAAGUAAUGUGAAUUGCAGAAUUCAGUGAAUCAUCGAAUCUUUGAACGCACAUUGCGCCCGCCAGUAUUCUGGCGGGCAUGCCUGUCCGAGCGUCAUUUCAACCCUCGAACCCCUCCGGGGGGUCGGCGUUGGGGAUCGGCCUUCCUUCACGGGGGCCGUCUCCGAAAUACAGUGGCGGUCUCGCCGCAGCCUCUCCUGCGCAGUAGUUUGCACACUCGCAUCGGGAGCGCGGCGCGUCCAC